rnacentral:lncRNA from 1 species
ACCCACAGCUCAUUUUAUAUUUUAUUUUCAGUCAGGGUCUUGCUAAAUUGCUGAGGCAGAACUCAAACUUGCUCCACCUUCCCUCCCCAGCAGCUGGGAUUACAGGCAUGUGUCAUUACACCCAGUUUGCCCUACAUCUUAAUCAUUACUGUAUUCAUUUUAUUUUUCAUGUUAUUACUCAGCAAUAUGUUUUGAAGAUUACUUUCAAAGGUCUGUGGUCAAAUCCAACUAUACCUUUAUUUUGCCUUCUCACUAAAACAUAAGUUUGGUUGAGUAUAGAAUUUGAAAUGCAAAAUUAUUUGCUUUCAGAAAUAGAUAAUCUUUAUUAUUCUGGCUUUCUGCAUUACUCACUGGUUUCAAAAAAGUUAAAGAAAAUUUGCAAAUUCUUCUGCUUGGAAAAAAUUACUGAAGUUGAUGUUUAAUACAUAAAGGAAUAGUCUUUUUUUUUCCCUUCUAGUUUUGCAUAGAGCAAGGAAGCAAAGAAACUAAAACUGAAAAUGGGAUUUAUUCUUAUAAACUCUCAUGUAAAGUGAAUUCUAAGUACCAUCUGCUAAAGUGAAGAGAUUAACAACAGAAAGGAAACAGCAAGAGUGUCACAUGCCUCGAAACUAUGUUCACUCUGGAAGGAGUCUGAUUCAGGUGAAUUAAGAUUUUUUUUUUUUUUAGUAGUAGUGUUCAAAAUAAUCAGCUGCCACUAAUAGACAAUGCUACUUUGUAUUUCUUUAAAUUUUGUUCUAUUAUUUAUGUAAUAAUUUGCCAGUAGAAGUUGUCCUAUUAAAAGUUGUCAUUUUAAUAAACAACAUUUUUUUGUAAGAGAAAUAUCUACUCACACAAUAGUCAACCACAAUCUAUGUUCUGUUACUCUAGACAAUGGAACACUUGGUCACUAGAGUCACAAAACUUAAUCCAAAAAUAUACCAUUCUCUGCAUAAAUUUCACAGGCUGCUCUGAAGGAGGAAAUAAAAUCUCUGAAAGAGAACAUUUUUUUUCCACCUUUUUCUACUCUUUUCAUCACCAUGUCCUUCCCCUCAAAUUUCCUUGCAAUUGGAAAGGGAGAAAACUAACUUUACAGACUCAUUCAAACCAGGGAAAACAAUUUAUUGUUCAUACUUCAAAUCUUCUGCUGAAACUUGUGUUUUCUAGAUCACCUACACCAUUCCCCAUCAGAAGAGCCUCUUGAAUGACAAAUGAUGUUAAGUGGUAUCCAAAAUAGAAUGCACAAAUCAUAGCAGCUGACAGUCACAAAGAAGCAAAUUAAUCAAGGCAUGUUAACAUAAGUAGUUAUCUUUCUCUGUGAGAGAGGAGAUAGGAGGACAAUAUAGCUGAGGGGACUCUACAGCCAUUUUCUGUACACUCACAUACUAUCUAAAACUUUUACAAUGUGAAUAUAGUAAUACAUUAAUUGUGUAAUAUUAAAGUAAUGUUAACAGUGAAAGGACACUAGAGAUGACUGGUAAAAAUCCCUCAGUUGUAAUGCUAUACAUUGCAUGUUUAGCCCCUGUCUCCAUCCCCUGCCCCCAAUUCCUCAAUGCAAUAGUAUUAGGAGGGGAGCUUCUGGGAGAUGAUUUGGUCAUGAGAGGGAGCCCUCUUAAGAGGGAUCAUUGCCAUUUUAAAAGAGAUCUCAGAAAGCUCUCUUACCUCUUCUGCCAUGUGAGGACACAAGAGGAUAGCAACUAUAAACCUGAAUAUGGGCUCUCACCAUACACCAAACUACCAAUGUUUUGUCUGUGACUUCUCAGCCUCCAAUGACUUCCCAGCCUCCUGAACUGUUCAGAAAUAAAUUUCUAUAGUUUAUAAGUCACCCAGUUUGUAAUAUUUUGUUACAGAAGCCCAGAUUGACAUGUAUAAAUGAUGAAACUGAGACUAGAAAAUCUGAUAUACUCCAGGUCAAGAUUUACCCAAUUUUCAAUUUCUAACCUCCAUCUGAAGAGGCAUAUGAGGAGACAAGCAUAGAGUUGCUCUGAAAAUAGCCAUCCUCCCUUGAGAAAACAAGGGAUACCAGGUUCUGAGAAAUAAGUCAAUCCAGAAACUACAUAAGAAACACUUCUGGUUGGGCACAGUGCCACACACCUGUAAUAAUUCCAGUGGCUCAGGAGGCCAAGGCAGGAAGAUCCCACAUUCCAAGCCAGCCUCAGUAAAAGCAAGGCACUAAGCAACUCAGUGAGAUCCUGUCUCUAAAUAAAAUACAAAAAAUAGGAUUGAGGAUGUGGCUCAAUGGUCAAGAGCCCCUGAGUUAAAAAAAAAAAAAAAGAAAAAGAAACACUUCUGUUCAAAUAUUGGAGGAAGUGAGAAAAUGUGCCAAGAACAGAGAGGACAGUUAAGGAUGUAAGUCACAGAGUCAAUCCAAGGAUUUAGGAUCUAGGAUAUAGGAGCAGUCAAGAUAUCAGUAUUAGGGCUGGGGUUGUGGCUCAGUGGUAGAGAGCUCGUCUGGUAUAUGUGAGGCAAGAGGUUCGAUGCUCAGUACCACAUAAAAAUAAAUGAAAUAAAGGUAUUGUGUCCAUCUACAACUAAAAAAAAAAAAUUAAAGGUAAGUAUUAAACUGGACCACCUGAUUGCCUAUAAUAAAUGGUAAAAAUUAGGUCUUCACUUUUAGUUUAUUCAGAUCAGUUUUUUUGUAAAUAGCCAUGGAGAUGGGAUGGCAACCAGUGGCAGAAAGCUUCCUAGAACACAAAUACUAUAGGUCCAAUUCUAGUUUAAAAAUCUUUGCAUAUUGCAUCAUUUGUCAAAUACCAGUAAUAAGAAUUUCUUAUGCCUCAGUGAUACAAAAACAAAUAUAAGAGGUUAUAGAUCCAUGGGAAAAAGAAACUAAAAUCUUCCAAAUGGAGAUAAAAGCAAUCACUAUGAGCUUUGUUCCUGUAACCUAGCAAUAUUAUUUCCAUGAGAUUGAGACUGAAUCAUGGGAAAUUUGGAGACCAUUAUUUGGAAGAAUACACAAAAGAGAUAAAUAAUGUAAAGACCUGGGCACAAAUGACUGGGGCAAGCCAAAAUAACUUCUAGUCUUUGUCUGUACUCUCCUCAGACAGAAAAACACAAUGGUGCCUGAUAGGACAAUGAUAUCAUGAAAUUAUAAAUAUGAAAGUAAACUGAAAUUCAGGUUAAGUUUCUCAUUUGCCAAAAGUCUAAACAAACUUCUUGAUAAUUAAUCUCCAAAAUGUGUGACUCUGCUGCAGACUUGUGCACAUAAAUUAUAAUAAAGAACCUUGGUAUGCAAUUUGAUUCAAAGUGCUUUUUAGUAAAGUACAUAAUGAUGCAUGCUGAGGAGAUGCAGGUAUAUUUAAUUGGAUAUAAUUAAAAUAAUGAUGUGUGUUUAAAAUAAUGAUAUAUUUAAAAAUGUUAAAUGUAAGUGGCUCACGAACCUGUAAUAAAAAGUCAAAGCAGUAACUAGUUUUUGAUUACUUGAUUAUUCACAGAACUAAUACCCUUCAUUUAACAAGUAAUGCAGGUAAUGCUUGUAAUAAUGUCACAGUAGAGGAGUUCAAGGAACCCUGGUGACAACAUGGGCCUCUCCCCCCACCCCCCACCCCGUCUCCCCCUCAUUGCUUGGGACUAGUUUCACCUUCCAGCUCUCUUCUCUUCAUGCCAACUCUUUUCAUCAAAAUAGUAACAAUAAUAAUUUCUCCAAGAUAGCUAAAAUAUUGACAGUUGUUGAGGCUGAGCAGAGGUAAUGAGAUAGGAAUUUGGGGUAACAGAAAAGAGAAGGAUGUUGAGUCUCAAAGGAAGAAGUACCCAUGAACCCCUGAACUGCAGAACACACCCAUGAAACACAGAAAUGAGAAAGCAUACAUGAAGAGUUGUAACUCCUGAGAGACCCAGCCUGCACCCUUGUCCUGAGCCCUUGUUUGCAAAAAAUUUACAUGAAGGCAGUGAGCAAGUGCAGGGAAACUGGUACAAAAUUGUGUAACUCUGCCCCGACUCUACCUCCAGUCCAGCCCCUAGAAACCAUCCCUCUAUAAAUAUUAACACCCCACGCUAACAGGUUGCCGUUUCCCCCUCUGGAGAUGGCCCACAUUCUCCCUUGAAUGUGCCUCUGCUUUUCUAAAUGAACCUCUGUCUAUGGCUCUGACUGGCAUAUGCUGAAAAGUCUUUUAAAACACCAUUGUCCUGAGUCCAGUUCCCCUUUCUCUCUACAACUUUUCAGAUCCUUCUUCUAAGCCAUCUCUUCUCCUGUGACAGUUACAUGAGGUUCAGUGUAUUUGUUCUCUCCGUGUACUUUUGAGAUGUUCUUUUAUUAGUAGAAAAAAAAAGUAUCUAUUUUUGAGCAUAGGUUUUAUAAUGUGUGAGGACUUUGCUUCUUCCCCAUUCAAAGGACAGACCUUACUAACUUGUGCAUGCAUGCACUGGCAUUACUUGAGGCCUCAGAAAUUCCCUUAAAAUAAGUGGACAAGUAGCACAUAGAGGGGUGUUUCUAACUUUCAGCCCUGGUUAGGUAUUGCCCCCAUAGAGACUGCUUUUUGCCUGGAUACCUCUCACCAUCUGGAGUUAGUUUUUGGUCCCUUCCUUGUCUUUCACCAUUUCUCUGCUUCAAGUUCAAUCAAUGGUUCCUGUCUGCCUCAUUAUUUUCCAGAGCCUGGUCCUCAUCCAUACACCAGGAUUUCUCAGAUGAGCAGCCAAUGAGCCAGUGCCCUACUGCCCAGACAUCUCAUUACCUUCUGUCCUCUGCUGCCCAGCUGUGACUUCUAACGGAGCUCAGUUCAACUCCCUGCAGGAUUGUACAGGCAAUUACUGUCUUUGAACCCCAAGCUCUAUAAUUCAUGAUCAGAUCUUGGGAGAGGCAAAUGGCUUGCUUGAUUUUUUUUUUUUUUCAGUUCCUGCUUAUAUGACUAAGCUUUGCACUCAAAAUGGGAAACUAGGCUAUGGUACAUCUGUAACAUUUCCUAUGGAUAAAACAUUUAUUGUACAUCUUUCUAUAGUUCCUCUUUACUUUUUAUGUUUAGUAAUUGAUACAUUGUAAUCCUGUUUCUAUGAAUUUGAAAUAGCUCUUAU